GAUUUCUGGUACGGCGCACUUGGCCCGUCUCGGUUACGAGCAUGUGUGCCGGUGUGCGCCUGCCAUCCAUCUAGAGAACGCUGUCGCCCUUCACUGGGUGGGCAGUGGUAUCUAGAUCUUUUACUUUGAAAAAAUUAGAGUGUUUAAAGCAGGCUUGUGCUAUGAAUACAUUAGCAUGGAAUAAUAAUUUAGGACUUUGGUCUUAUUUUGUUGGUUUCUAGGACUAAAGUAAUGAUUGAUAGGGAUAGUUGGGGGUGCUAGUAUUCAGCGGCCAGAGGUGAAAUUCUUGGAUUCGCUGAAGACUAACUUAUGCGAAAGCAUU
rnacentral:rRNA from 1 species